rnacentral:rRNA from 1 species
AUUGAACGCUGGCGGCAUGCUUUACACAUGCAAGUCGAACGGUAACAGGGUGCUUGCACCGCUGACGAGUGGCGAACGGGUGAGUAAUGCGUCGGAACGUGCCGGGUAGUGGGGGAUAACGCAGCGAAAGUUGUGCUAAUACCGCAUACGUAUUGAGGUAGAAAGUGGGGGACCUUCGGGCCUCACGCUAUUCGAGCGGCCGACGUCUGAUUAGCUAGUAGGUGAGGUAAAGGCUCACCUAGGCGACGAUCAGUAGCGGGUCUGAGAGGAUGAUCCGCCAAACUGGGACUGAGACACGGCCCAGACUCCUACGGGAGGCAGCAGUGGGGAAUUUUGGACAAUGGGCGAAAGCCUGAUCCAGCCAUGCCGCGUGUCUGAAGAAGGCCUUCGGGUUGUAAAGGACUUUUGUCAGGGAGGAAAUCCCUAGUGCUAAUAACACUGGGGGAUGACAGUACCUGAAGAAUAAGCACCGGCUAACUACGUGCCAGCCGCCGCAGUAA